rnacentral:rRNA from 1 species
UCCUGGCUCAGAACGAACGCUGGCGGCAUGCCUAACACAUGCAAGUCGAACGAGACCUUCGGGUCUAGUGGCGCACGGGUGCGUAACACGUGGGAAUUUGCCUCGGGGUAUGGAAUAACUCAGGGAAACUUGAGCUAAUACCAUAUAAUGUCUUCGGACCAAAGAUUUAUCGCCCUGAGAUAAGCCCGCGUAGGAUUAGCUAGUUGGUGGGGUAAAGGCUCACCAAGGCGACGAUCCUUAGCUGGUCUGAGAGGAUGAUCAGCCACACUGGGACUGAGACACGGCCCAGACUCCUACGGGAGGCAGCAGUGGGGAAUAUUGGACAAUGGGGCGAAAGCCUGAUCCAGCAAUGCCGCGUGAGUGAUGAAGGCCUUAGGGUUGUAAAGCUCUUUUACCCGAGAUGAUAAUGACAGUAUCGGGAGAAUAAGCUCCGGCUAACUCCGUG